rnacentral:rRNA from 1 species
ACCGGCGCACGGGUGCGUAACGCGUAUGCAAUCUACCUUGUACAGGGGAAUAGCCCAGAGAAAUUUGGAUUAAUGCCCCAUAGUAUAUAACCUUCGCAUGUUGGUUAUAUUAAAGUUCCAACGGUACAAGAUGAGCAUGCGUCCCAUUAGUUAGUUGGUAAGGUAACGGCUUACCAAGACGAUGAUGGGUAGGGGUCCUGAGAGGGAGAUCCCCCACACUGGUACUGAGACACGGACCAGACUCCUACGGGAGGCAGCAGUGAGGAAUAUUGGUCAAUGGUCGCAAGACUGAACCAGCCAUGCCGCGUGCAGGAAGACGGUCCUAUGGAUUGUAAACUGCUUUUAUACAGGAAGAAACCCUCCCACGUGUGGGAGCUUGACGGUACUGUAGGAAUAAGGAUCGGCUAACUCCGUGCCAGCAGCCGCGGCAAUACGGAGGAUCCAAGCGUUAUCCGGAAUCAUUGGGUUUAAAGGGUCCGUAGGCGGUCUUAUAAGUCAGUGGUGAAAGCCCAUCGCUCAACGAUGGAACUGCCAUUGAUACUGUAAGACUUGAAUGCUUAGGAAGUAACUAGAAUAUGUAGUGUAGCGGUGAAAUGCUUAGAUAUUACAUGGAAUACCAAUUGCGAAGGCAGGUUACUACUAAGUGAUUGACGCUGAUGGACGAAAGCGUGGGGAGCGAACAGGAUUAGAUACCCUGGUA